rnacentral:lncRNA from 1 species
CACACGGUGGUAGGAGAAGCCCCCGGCAGCGCUGCGGGCCCCUCUGUGCUCCAUUCCCUCCCCCCACCCACAGCCCCGGCCACAGCUGCGACGAAUGGAGAGCAAAAAGCUCUCCUCCGAAGGGCUGAGGGAUCGGCCAGCAGCAGUGCUGGGUGCCAAACUGCCGCAGCUCAGCUCGGGGGUUGCGUUCACUGAGCUCUGAAGGUUCUGGACUCCCCGUUCUGCAGUGCAGGAGCUGCACCUCUGAAGGCCAUCUGGUCCCACCCCCUGCGAUAAGCGGGGACACCCACAGCUCCAUCAGGUGCUCAGAGCCCACCCAGUCUGACCUUGGCUGUACCCAUGGAUGGGACGUCCACCACCACAGCACUCAGCUCUCCAGGAGCAGGCUGACACACGGACCUGGAGGAGAAGGGCAAGUUGUCGUGGCCGGCGCUGGCGCAGCAGUAGAAGCCCUGCAGGGUUUUCACCACCCGUCCUCUCGCUGGGCUGAUGUUUGAUUGCAUCCCACAGCAGCAGACUGGAGAGCAGCUAUUGCACGAUGACUUCUGCUUUGUUUGUGUCCUGCAGCUACCGAGUGGGUGACUCCUCUCACUCCACACUUACUCUCAUUAAAGAGCAGAAUUCGAUAUGAGUGUCAGCAACAUAUGGUGCGAAUCACUCUCUUUGGAAAGGGGGAAAAAACAAGAGCGGUGGAUACCCAUGUGUAAAACCUGACUGCAAACACAACAAGGGGAAGGCUGAUUCUGCAUACUGCAGUGCUGAAUCUGGAAGUACUUAUGCCUCCGAUGACAUUUGCUGCACUGCGUGGAAAGAUCUGCAGCUCCCUGGGAUCUGCAGCACGUGGCCAGAUGUGAAGUGAGGCGGUACAUGGGAGUUUUU